rnacentral:rRNA from 1 species
AUUGAACGCUGGCGGCAAGCCUAACACAUGCAAGUCGAACGAGUGGCGGACGGGUGAGUAAUGUCUGGGAAACUGCCUGAUGGAGGGGGAUAACUACUGGAAACGGUAGCUAAUACCGCAUACCAUCUGAUGUGCCCAGAUGGGAUUAGCUAGUAGGUGGGGUAAAGGCUCACCUAGGCGACGAUCCCUAGCUGGUCUGAGAGGAUGACCAGCCCAGCUGGACCUGAGACACGGUCCAGCCUCCGACGGUAGGCAGCAGUGGGGAAUAUUGCAGAAUGGGCGCAAGCCUGAUGCAGCCAGGCCGAGUGUAUGAAGAAGGCCUGCGGGUUGUAAAGUACUUUCAGCGGGGAGGCGUUACCCGCAGAAGAAGCACCGGCUAACUCCGUGCCAGCAGCCGCGGUAAUAC